rnacentral:rRNA from 1 species
ACUCCUACGGGAGGCAGCAGUGGGGAAUUUUGGACAAUGGGCGAAAGCCUGAUCCAGCCAUGCCGCGUGCAGGAUGAAGGCCUUCGGGUUGUAAACUGCUUUUGUACGGAACGAAACGGCCUUUUCUAAUAAAGAGGGCUAAUGACGGUACCGUAAGAAUAAGCACCGGCUAACUACGUGCCAGCAGCCGCGGUAAUACGUAGGGUGCAAGCGUUAAUCGGAAUUACUGGGCGUAAAGCGUGCGCAGGCGGUUAUGUAAGACAGUUGUGAAAUCCCCGGGCUCAACCUGGGAACUGCAUCUGUGACUGCAUAGCUAGAGUACGGUAGAGGGGGAUGGAAUUCCGCGUGUAGCAGUGAAAUGCGUAGAUAUGCGGAGGAACACCGAUGGCGAAGGCAAUCCCCUGGACCUGUACUGACGCUUAUGCACGAAAGCGUGGGGAGCAAACAGGAUUAGAUACCCGUGUAGUCCCA